UACAUGCUUCCUCUGAGCUAGCUUAAAGUGGGGUUGUCAUUUUAGCAGGGACCUCAGGAAAACUGGAACAGUGAAGAAACGGUGUGUGGUUACAGACUUUUGUGUGAGGUUUUGAAAGUUAG